UACAGAGGUGGCAAGCGUUGUUCGGAAUUACUGGGCGUAAAGGGCGUGUAGGCGGUCUUCUAAGUCAGACGUGAAAUCCCCAGGCUUAACCUGGGAACUGCAUCCGAGACUGCAUUGCUAGAGUAUGGGAGAGGGAAGUGGAAUUUCAGGUGUAGCGGUGAAAUGCGUAGAUAUCUGAAGGAACAUCAGUGGCGAAAGCGACUUCCUGGACCAAUACUGACGCUCAUGUGCGAAAGCGUGGGGAGCAAACAGG
rnacentral:rRNA from 1 species